GAUGAACGCUGGCGGCGUGCCUAAUACAUGCAAGUCGAGCGAACAGAUGAGGAGCUUGCUCCUCUGACGUUAGCGGCGGACGGGUGAGUAACACGUGGAUAACCUACCUAUAAGACUGGGAUAACUUCGGGAAACCGGAGCUAAUACCGGAUAAUAUAUUGAACCGCAUGGUUCAAUAGUGAAAGACGGUUUUGCUGUCACUUAUAGAUGGAUCCGCGCCGCAUUAGCUAGUUGGUAAGGUAACGGCUUACCAAGGCGACGAUGCGUAGCCGACCUGAGAGGGUGAUCGGCCACACUGGAACUGAGACACGGUCCAGACUCCUACGGGAGGCAGCAGUAGGGAAUCUUCCGCAAUGGGCGAAAGCCUGACGGAGCAACGCCGCGUGAGUGAUGAAGGUCUUCGGAUCGUAAAACUCUGUUAUUAGGGAAGAACAAAUGUGUAAGUAACUAUGCACGUCUUGACGGUACCUAAUCAGAAAGCCACGGCUAACUACGUG
rnacentral:rRNA from 1 species